rnacentral:sRNA from 1 species
GCCGGGCGCAGUGGUGCAGGCCUGUCAUCCCAGCAUCCCGGGAGGCUGAGGCAGGAGGAUCGCCAGGUGGAGGCCAGCCUCAGCAAGUUAGCCAGGCCCUGAGCCACUCAGAGAGACCCUGUCUCUC